rnacentral:lncRNA from 1 species
UUGUCCAAACCCUAAACCCUAAGGGUUUCAUCUAAUGCAAAAAUCUAGAAAAAAAUUGGAAAUGACCAUAAUACCCUUUUUAUAUAUAAAAUGAGGUUACUUGUAAAAAAAAUUGUAAAACCUUUAGUUGGUGACCAACUAAAGGCAAUCAAUUGACUUAAAUCUCAGCCCUUUCAGCCUCUUGUGACAGCACAACACAACAUUCAUUGCAUCUAGAGAGGAUAAAAGAGAAUUAGAGAGAGAAAAUACACUUAAGUUGGUCAUUUUUUUCCAAAGUCUAAAACAACUCUCUC